rnacentral:rRNA from 1 species
UGGCGGCGUGCUUAACACAUGCAAGUCGAACGGAGAUUCAGCAAUGGAUCUUAGUGGCGAACGGGUGAGUAACGCGUAGGCAAUCUGCCUCUAGAUGGGGACAACAUCCCAAAGGGGUGCUAAUACCGAAUGUUGUAUGAUCUUCGCAUGGAGAUGAUACUAAAGGUGGCCUCUGAAUAUGCUACCGCUAGAAGAUGAGCCUGCGUCUGAUUAGCUAGUUGGAGGGGUAACGGCCCACCAAGGCUUCGAUCAGUAGCCGGUCUGAGAGGAUGAACGGCCACACUGGGACUGAGACACGGCCCAGACUCCUACGGGAGGCAGCAGUGGGGAAUCUUCCGCAAUGGACGAAAGUCUGACGGAGCAACGCCGCGGUUGAGUGAAGAAGGUUUUCGGAUCGUAAAGCUCUUUCGUUAGGGACGAACGUGCUCUUUGUGAAUAAUGAGGAGUAAUGACGGUACCUAAAUAAGAAGCCACGGCUAACUACGUGCCAGCCGCCGC